AUGGUUUGGCAAGCUGCAAAUGUAUUGUGGUUUAGUAAGCUACAAAUAUGCUGAAAAUGAUAUGAAAUGAAUUUUUCAUUCUACAAUUGUAGGUAAAGUUCCAUAUUGUCCUUAGUUGAUAGAGGUCGGAAUGUCUUCGCGUGAAGAAUAAUAAAAAAUGAAAUGAAAGCAUGAUAUGAUAUAAUUUGCUUGAUUUUCUCUAUUUACAUGAUUUGAUUACAUGUUUGAUAUGAUUGAUUUGAUGUUGAUGCUUU
rnacentral:lncRNA from 1 species